UAGUCCACGCCCUAAACGAUGUCAACUAGUUGUCGGGUCUUAAUUGACUUGGUAACGCAGCUAACGCGUGAAGUUGACCGCCUGGGGAGUACGGUCGCAAGAUUAAAACUCAAAGGAAUUGACGGGGACCCGCACAAGCGGUGGAUGAUGUGGAUUAAUUCGAUGCAACGCGAAAAACCUUACCUACCCUUGACAUGGUCGGAAUCCUGGAGAGAUCUGGGAGUGCUCGAAAGAGAACCGGCGCAC
rnacentral:rRNA from 1 species